GUAGAUAUAGUUUACAAAAAACAUUAGACUGUGAAUCUAAUAACAGGAGACUAACACUCCUUGUCUACC
rnacentral:tRNA from 1 species